CCCCAGCGCCACUAGAUGGGAACCACGUUUAUUGGGCUUAAAGCAUUCGUAGCCGGAUCGGCAAAUGCCCUGUGAAAUCGUUUCGCUCAACAAAACGGCGAGCAUGAUAGACUACCAAACUAGGCACCAGGAGAAGGAGACGGUAUUCCUGAGGGAGCGGUAAAAUGUGAUAAUCUCAGGAGGACCACCAAUGGCGAAGGCAGUCUCCUAAAAUGGAUCCGACGGUGAGGGAUGAAAGCUAGGGAAGCGAUCCGGAUUAGAUACCCGAGUAGUCCUAGCCGUAAACGCUGCAUGCCAGAUGUUACACAAUCUUCGAGAUUGUGUAGUGUCGUAACGAAAGUGUUAAGCAUGCCACCUGGCAAGUACGGUCGCAAGGCUGAAACUUAAAGGAAUUGUCGGGGGAGCACCACAAGGGGUGCGGCGUGCGGCUUAAUAGAAUUCAACGCCGAGAAUCUCACCAGGGGCGCCGGCAGAAUGAAGCUCAGUCUAAAGGGCUUAGCUAACGAGCCGAGAGGUGGUGCAUGGCCGUCGUCAGCUCGUGUCGUGAGAUGUCCUGCUAAGUCAGGCAACGAGCGAGACCUGUAUCCGCCGUGGCUAACGCGUCCGCAAGGAUGAGCGAGCACACUGCGGAGACUCCCUUCGAAAGAAGGAGGAAGGUGCAGAGUACGGUAGGUCUGUACGCCCCGAAUCUCCUGGGCAACACGCGCGCAACAAUGGUCGUGACAAUGGGAUGCAACGCCGAAAGGUGAAGCCAAGCCUCGAAACCCGACCCUAGUAUGAAUUGAGGGCUGCAACUCGCCCUCAUGACACCGGAAUCCCUAGUAAUCAGAGUCUAGCAUGCUGCGGUGAAUAUGUCCCUGCUCCU
rnacentral:rRNA from 1 species